AGGGAGGCCAUGUGAAUGGAUUAAGCACCUGCUGACUGAUAUUGGAACUGUCAUUUCCAAGGGUUCAAGUUGCGACAUACAGUUGACCAACUGGAUUGCAAAAGGGCACGCAGCCCAAACAACAAAUGCAAAAGGAUGCAAGGUUUUCUUUGGAUCUCAACUUUUGUAAAGCAGGGGAACAGAAAUAAAGAGCACCAUCGUCUACGAGAAUGAAGUCUCUGACUUCGGUUACAAAAGAUGGACAUCAGCAAGUGCUGAAUCAACAGACAGGUCUUCCCGGGACUCAACCCAAGGAAAGUGACGGGCCUGGACGAUGUCCCCAGCCAAGCACUCAGAUCCUGUGCAGACCAACU